GACGAACGCUGGCGGCAUGCCUAACACAUGCAAGUCGAACGGAGAAUUCCUUCGGGAAUUCUUAGUGGCGAACGGGUGAGUAACGCGUAGGCAACCUGCCCUUUGGAUGGGGACACAUUCCGAAAGGAGUGCUAAUACCGAAUGUGACGAUUUUACCGCAUGGUUUAAUCGUGAAAGAUGGCCUCUACAUGUAAGCUAUCGCCAAAGGAUGGGCCUGCGUCUGAUUAGCUAGUUGGUGGGGUAACGGCUCACCAAGGCGACGACCAGUAGCCGGCCUGAGAGGAUGAACGGCCACAUUGGGACUGAGACACGGCCCAGACUCCUACGGGAGGCAGCAGUGGGGAAUAUUGGGCAAUGGAGGCAACUCUGACCCAGCAACGCCGCGUGAAGGAAGAAGGCCUUCGGGUUGUAAACUUUUGUUGUAGAGGACGAAGAAAGUGACUGUACUCUACGAGGAAGCCCCGGCUAACUAUGUG
rnacentral:rRNA from 1 species